rnacentral:rRNA from 1 species
GNNCGGCGGNCGGGUGAGUAAUGCCUGGGAAAUUGCCCAGUCGAGGGGGAUAACAGUUGGAAACGACUGCUAAUACCGCAUACGCCCUACGGGGGAAAGCAGGGGACCUUCGGGCCUUGCGCGAUUGGAUAUGCCCAGGUGGGAUUAGCUAGUUGGUGAGGUAAUGGNUCNCCAAGGCGACGAUCCCUAGCUGGUCUGAGAGGAUG